AAAAAGGCAAACCCUGAGUUUCCGUGUCCAAUUUUAACUGUCUGUCUUAUAUGAAAAUUUUUUAUAAUUCUAUUUUUAUUGUUAUUAGAUGAUAAAAUAUGAUUAAUAUUUUAUGCGUGACUUGUCUUUUUAAUUUUUUUCAUAAUUUUUUCAAAUAAGACGGACGGUCAAACGUUGGGCACGGAAACCAGGGUUUGUCUUUUU
rnacentral:pre_miRNA from 1 species